rnacentral:rRNA from 1 species
UCCCCCAGUAACGGCGAGUGAAGCGGGAAGAGCUCAAAAUGUAAACCGGAGUGCCAAGCGGUACUCCGGGUUGUAAGCUAGAGAUGUACUGUCAGCGUGUGGCCUGGGUAUAAAUCCUUUGGAACAGGGUGUCAUAGAGGGUGAGAACCCCGUCUUUGAUCCAGAGUCCGCCGCGUACGACGUGCAUUCAAAGAGUCGAGUUGUUUGGGAUUGCAACUCUAAAUGGGAGGUAAAUUUCUUCUAAAGCUAAAUACCUGCGAGAGACCGAUAGCGAACAAGUACCGUGAGGGAAAGAUGAAAAGAACUUUGAAAAGAGAGUUAAAAAGUACUUGAAAUUGCUAAGAAGGAAGCGUUGGCAACCAGAGAUUUUGUGCCGUGGCAUACAAGCCGCAAGCCGUGUGAUCUGUGUGCUUCAGGGAGCCUUUGCGCCCCUGCUGGUGUGCAGCUGAGUGCGGAGGGCGGUGUCGUGCCGCGGUACAGGCCAGCAUCAGUUUCUAUGCGCGGGAGAAGGCCCGGAAGAAGGUAGGUCGUCGGCUUCACGGCUGGCUUCUGUUAUAGCCUCUGGGAGAUACCGCGUAAGAGACUGAGGAAUCGACAACGUGCGCCACUAUGGCUCACCUGCGCGGGCCCUGCGUGGUUAGGGAGCUGGAUAGCAAAGCUAUGCUGUUUCCGAAGCUGCGUACUGGCCUGCGACAGAGUAGAAGCACGUUCGGGAUGCUGGUAAAAUGGUUUUCAAUGACCCGUCUUGA